UAGAAUAUAGCUAAAUAGAAAAGCAUCUCAUUUACACCGAGAAAACAUUCGUGCAAAUCGAAUUAUUCUAA
rnacentral:tRNA from 1 species